AGCCACUUCACAGCCUGGUGAGAACUGAAUGAGUUAACUGUGUGAAUGGUCCACAUACUAUACAGUCUACAUGAUUAUCAGAGCCUGGGUUUUCAAAUUAGAUGCCAUGUGACAAGUCAAAAAACAAGUCAAUUAGGAAGGGCAUGGUAUAAAGCCUCCAGGUCUCCAGUUCCCUUCCCCAGAAGAAGCAAACAUUGCCAGUUUCUUACAAAUCAUUCCAGAGAUAUUUUAUUCAUUCUAAGUAUGUAUGUACAUUUUAUGCCUGUUUCUGGACAACUUCUGGACAACUGCAUAAAACUUUGUGCUCCUUGUUUAUUCACUGGACAUACAAGGAAUAAUUUUACAUCAUUACUUAAAAAAUUCAAGUUUGUUCUUAUGGAUGAAGAAUAGUUGAUAGUAUAGAUAAAAAAAGAAAAGAGCAA